GUAGGCAGACGCUUACGCAGCGAGGCGUGCUGGCUGCCCAAAAUACCCAAGAUUACUACAGGUAAAAAUCUGCCGAGCUGUUUUAAUAUGUUGCAGAGAGGGAGUGAAGACGAAUGGUGUGUAUUUCCCGGUUUCUUCUUUUGAAG